rnacentral:ncRNA from 2 species
AUUGCAUAAUCAGAAUCAGAUACCCGUAAGGGAUAAAGGGAAUCAGGUGCAAGCCCUGAGCGGUCCCGCCACUGUAACCGGUUACGAACCAUAGUUAUGCCACUGAGAAAUUGGGAAGGUAUAUGGUUAGGAUGAUCCGGAAGCCAGGAGACCUGUCUGGUUCGUUGGCAGAAC